GGAGCUAAUACUAUGUGUCAGAUAACAUGCUGGGGACCUUUAUAAUUCCCUUACUUUAGCCUUUACUUUACAUAUGAGGAGACUGAGAGUUAGGAAGUCAGGAAACCCGCUUUUCAACUAGUCAGGAUUUGAAUAUAUCUGUUUCCAAGCAUCACACAUUGUAUCAAUCAGGAAUAUCUGCUACAGAAUUUGUUUAUGGUGGUUUAAAACAGCAGGGGAUUAUUUUCUCAUACAAAAGGCAAUGUGGAGGCACCUGGCUGCUGGCAUUGGUCCAGUGGUUCUGUAGUAUCAGGUGCAGUGCUGCUGUGAUUGCCCUAGGCUUUUCCACAUGGAUGCAAGAUUCAAAGGAGAAAGGGGGAAGGGGAAACUAGGCAGAACUUACACCCCACAUCUAAAAGCUUUCCUAGGAUCUCUAUACAUGACUUCCAUUUAUACCCCAUUGGUCAGAACACGGCCAGGGAGGAGGAGGGCAAGGGGUUGGACAAGCCAGUAUGCAGUGUCUGUACCAGUGUGUUGGUUUUUUGAUGAUAGAUUCCUGGCCAGCCAGCUAUGUAGUCAUGGGAGUUAGAUGACUGAGCAGCUGCUCCGAAACCACCUCCGGGGGUGCACGCUGGGUCAGAGCAACUGAGUUGUCACCUGCAUCGGGACGACCUGGUUGACCUUGCUCCUUGCCACAGAGAUGACAUGCCAGUAAAUGCUGCCACCACUUUUCAUGUGCUUACAAACAAGUUCCCUGUCUGUAGCACGAUGCUGCAGCACUGAGGGCACUGGGUGUUUCCCUUUCCUGAUUGUUGGGUUUUGGUGGGAAUUUGUUGCGAGGGUUGCGGCGGGGGGUGGGGAGGGGGCAUGGGCUGCGCAGUAUAUGGAGGGAUCAGAUCCAAGCUGCAGCUUUGGGAAUGUCGAAUCCUUAACCCACUGUGCUAGGCCAGGGAUCGAACCUCCAUCCCAUUGCUCCCAAGACUCUGCCAAUUUGUUGUGCCACAGCAGGAACUCCUGAAUGUUGGUUUUCAAGUAGCCAUGCAAUGAGAUCAGACAGGAAUCAGAAGACCUGGGUUCUAGUGCAGCUUUGCCACCCACUGAGAGACCUGGAAUAAGUCCCUUAAGCCUUCGUUUUUCCAUCUGUGUAGGGUAAGGAUAAUUUUCUUGCCUAUUUGCCAAGAUUUCAUGAUGUCCCAGCAGGCAUUCUGAAAUCUCUCAGGUCUUAUAUAUUACUAGGGGCAGAGGGGCACCCUGGGUCCAAGGACUGUGACCCUCUUGGACCAGGAGGCUGUAAGAUCCCAGAGGGCAGAACUGUGUUACCCUUAUCUCUGUCUCCCCAGCACAAGCAUAAUAUUGUGCUUAGGACUCAGUAAAUAUUCAUUCAAUGAGUGGCUGGAUACCUAAAUAAGCGGAUGAAGGAUUAUCCUACAACAGCAAAAUUCUGGCCUUUAGCUCUGCCUUCAUUCUUGCAUGUCUAACUGCCUGCUAGAGGUCGCUGCCCCGAUGUCCUGAAGCACCCCCAGAUUGAUCUUACCAGAUGGUAUUGUUGCUUCCAGCUUAUGCACAGAUCUGUGGCCCCUUUGUAUUUCUGCUAACAGCCUCUCUCUCCUCCAGCCCCUAGGCGGCAAUUCCAGAUUACUACUUGUCUCUUUAUUUCCCCUUUUCUCAAUAUCCUAUCAUUUGUAAAGUCUUUGUCUUCUGCUUCCGUGAUAUUCAGGCAUGAUAUACAGCUCAGCACCAUACAAUUUUGCAAAGAGAGGCUCCUAACUAUGAGACUUGAGCUGCUGCUUUUUUUUUUUUUUUUUUUCUUUUUAGGUCUGCUCCCGUGGCAUAUGGAAGUUCCCAGGCUAGGGGUAGAAUCGGAGUUGUAACUGCUGGCCUACACCAUAGCUACAGCAACGCUGGAUCAGAGCCACGUCUGUGACCUACACCACAGUUCACAGCAAUGCCAGAUUCUUAAUCCACUGAGCAAGUCCAGAGAUUGAACCUGCAUCCUCAUGGACACUAGUCCAGUUCUUAACCUGCUGAGCCACAACAGGAACUCUGAGACUUGAUCUUCUUUCAUAAAGUGUUGUUACAAGGCCAGGGAGCCUUAUUUCUAUUCCUGGGUUUAGUCAGGAUCUUGCUCUGAGGCAGAGAUUGGACUGGAUGGUCUCACAUGGUUCCAUCCCAUCUUAGAGGCCCCUGCCUUUGAUAUUUUGCAAUCAAGCAUUGCCCGCAGCAGACUUGGGAGUUGAUAUUUUCUAAACUAAAGAACUAGAGCCUUAGACAGGGAUAGCACAGGUUCUAAUGAACAAUUAGGCACUCCUGUUGGAUUGGAGAUUCCAUCUCAAUUCCACUAUCAGUUUGCUGCAGUAGAGUCACUUUGUUAUUAUUUAUAUAUUUACUUUUGGCCGGGCCUUAGGGAAGAGAAAGUUCCCAUGCCAGGGAUCAAACUCAUGCCAAAGCAGUGACCUGAGCUACAGUAGUGAUAAUGCUGGCUCCUUAACCUGCCAGGCCACCAGGGAACUCCUGGAGUCAAUUUAAAAACAACAUCCUAAGGGAGCUCCCAUCAUGGCUCAGCAGUAACAAACCCAAAUUGGAUCCAUGAAGAUUUAGGUUUGAUCCCUGGCCUCAUUCAGUGGGUUAAGGAUCUGACAUUGCCAUGAGCUCUCGUGUAGGUUGCAGACAUGGCUUGGAUCUGGUGUUGCUGUGGCUGUGGCUUUGGCAAUAGCUGUAGCUCCAAUUUGACCCCUAGCCUGGGAAUUUCCAUAGGCCCCACCUGGGGCCCUAAAAAACAGAACAAACAAACAAAAUCUUAAGGUAUAAUUCACAUAACUUUCAAUUCCGCCACUGAGAAUGGACAAUUCAUUGGCUGUGUGUGUAUUCACCGAUUUAUGCAACCGUCACUGUAAUCCCUUCUCUCUCCCUUUUCCCCUGCCCCCAGCCCUAGGAGACCACUAAUCUACUUUCUGCUUCUAUAAAUUUGUCUAUUCUGGACACUUAAUAUAAACAGGUCAUGUAAUAUGUAAACUUUUGUGAUGAGCAUCUUUUAUUUGGCAUAAUGUCCAUUCAUAUUACAGCAUCUAUUAGUAAUCCAUCCCUUUUUAUUGCUAAAUAAUACUUCAUUGUAUAGAUACAUCAUAUUUUAUUUAUCCGUCCACCAGUUGAUGGAUAUCUGGGUUGCUUUUACUUUUUAACCAUUAUGAAUAAUGCUGCUGUGAAUGUCUAUGUACAAGUUUUAUGUGGACAUAUGUUUUCACUUCUCUUGGUUGGUCAUCUUAGAGUAGAAUUGCUGCAUCCUAGGAUAAGUCUACAUUUAACCUUUUGAUGAGCUGCCAGAAUGCUUUCCAAAGCAGAUGCGCCAUUUUGGAAUCAUUUUGAACUUGGUGGUAUUAUUAGCAUCGUAAUAGCAAUGGGCAUUUAAAGUGAGAGGCCUAAGCUGCUUAAAAUUUAGACGUGUCAAAAGACACACAGUAUUAUUUUUAAAUGCUGUGCAACUGUGCAUUUAUAACUAGUGUUGAAUCACUGUCAGAAAAUCUUCCCAGAGGCAAGACUGCACUGUGCUAUCUAGUUUGUCCAUGGUGAAAGGUGAGGUACCUGGUUCAAUAUUUUUACACUUAAAGAAUAUGGUUUUGAGCCAGCAUCUUUCUCUGUGCCCACUGAUGCUCUUUGUUAGGAGAUCCAGGGAUGGCCAGACUCAGUCCUUCUGAAUUACUCCAGCCCUGGAGCCAAGGAUCAGCACAGUCUUGUGCUCAUGGAUUAUCUCCUUGGUUGGUGGCUGAGGAAGAACAUUAUGCCAGAGGCAACACUGUGACCUCUCCACAGAAUGAAAGAGAGAGAGAAAGAGAGAGAGAGAGGCUGGGAAAGGCCUGUCAUUACCUCAAAGUGGGGAAGGAAGAAGGAGGACAAGAAAAAUCCAUUUUCAGGACUUUAAGAUUUUAAAUUGUAUGUUCCAUAAAUCUGAAUACAUAAACUAUAAAUGCCAUACUCUGGGUUUAAUUAGGUUGGAUUACUUUCACAACUUAAAAAAAAAAUGGAAAGAAAAAGAUAUCACUAUCAUUCUGAGCUUAACCUUUAUUUAGAUUCUAUAUAUCUCACCCCUGGGGAUACUGAAAUUAGAUGAAUUUCUUAUUUUAGCACUGAGGAGAUGAAGCAUUUUCUCUAACAGAGCUGAAAGUCUCUUAAAGUAGGAUCAGCAGUCACUCCCUGUUUCUUCCAAUGAAGACUUGGGAUUCAGUGGACACAGCUUUAGGAAACUAAUAAUAAGUUUUAACAUACAGAUUGUUAGAAGUAGAGGUGAGGCAGCUGGGGAAAUGGAAAUCUAGAGAAAUUAAACAUGUUGCUUAGUCUCCUGGUCAUUGGGGGCCUGGAAGUGUGCCCAGAGCCUUUGACUCUUGGACCAGUGUUCCCGACCAACCACAAUGCCUUGGUCUGCUCCUUGACCCUGACUGUGGUGGUGGUAGGGGAGAUGGGUGGGUGGGGGGCUGACACUGCAAGGAAGAACCUACUAGCCAGGGUGUGUACAAGCUCCUGUCCUUCAGUGCUAAAGGGCCACGAGACACUGGGGUGGGGAAGGGGGUCGAUGACAGACAUUAUAGCACAGGGUGAUGGAGAAGGCUCUUUCAGGCUCUUGUAUUCCACCCUCCAAAUUGGGGGGUGCUCCUGGCACAGACAACACCUUUGUGUCAAUUAGAAAAACUCACCAUUCCUGAGGGCAGGUAGAGCUCCAUGUAGAAGCUUGAGAGCUGUGCAUAGGCUCCAUCUCAGCCCCCUUAGGCCUUUGCCUGGGGGCACUUGGGCAGGGCCAAACCAGUGCAACUGGACAGAUGAUCUCAUUUUUUCCUCAAAGAGGCUUAUUGUCCUCAUCUGCAGAAUGCAGACACUAAUAGGACUUUUCCAUUAAGGAUCUCUGAUGAUUGGGUGAGACCCUGUUGAUGAAUGGACUUCAUAAACCAGAAAAGGAGUUCCAUCGUGGCUCAGUGGUUAACGAUCCCGAAAUUCCCUGGCCAGGGGUGGAAAUUGUUCUGCAGUCCUGGAUCCUUAACCUGCUGCUCCACGUGGGAACCUCUGCCAGCAGAUUUUCUUGAAGUAGAAAAAUAUUUCUGUGAACUCCUGGUUCUAUAAAAAUAAGAGACAAACAGAGAGGGCCUCAUUCUUCAGGCAGAAAAGGGCAGAGCCUGUCUUUCCAUGGAUAUGAUCUGUCCUGCAUCCAUGAUACUUGAUCUCAUGAUCCUUGGCUGCAUCCAAUUCUCCUUCUAUGGUUCAUGAUUCCUGAAAUUUCCUCUAGUGGGAACAUUUUUGUAAUAUUCAUCAAGCCUGCUUCCUUCUCCGUUUCUGCAGAGACACACUUAAAUCUCGUCAAUUGAAUCCUCAUUUGCAGUGUGGAUGCGAAGAAUCCCCAUGUUGGAGAAAGAAAAAUACAAGUGCUGUCUGCCUAGAGAAAGGCACAUUUUUGAGUGAAAUGUCCUAAGGGGAAAGGACUGCAUCUUCUCUGUGAUUUUUACUGCGCUUGUUUGCAAAUGUCUAAAUACUUUCUGAGAUUUCAAUAAAUAUUCCCUGACAUUGAUGGUAAGACAGACACAGAAUAGAUUCAGGCAUGUGUUCUCCAGCUAUCUUCCAAGACAUAGUUUUUCUAUAUUGGCCAAUUCUUGGAGCAGAUUCUUUCAUCCCCCAGCAUGAAACUCUAUGGAAAUUCAAACAUUCUUGUGGUGACAGCAUGCUUAACAUUGGGAAUUUAGUCAUUGCAUGUCCUGACUCCAAGAUGCUAUUUGCUUUACUUCACUAUUUCUGGUGUUGUUCAUAAUGUUGUUUUAAAGCCUUGUUUUUCAUGUUUGAGGUUGUUAAGGAUUUGGUGAUGUUAUCUGUGAAUAUAUUUAUUACUCAGCAAGAGCCUGCUCUGCUCCCCUGUGGGAGUGGAGGAGAAGCGGCAUGAAUUAUAGAUCACUGGGGAGAGAGUCUUUCUGAGCUUACUUUAAGCUGAUUUUAACACUCUCCAUUUGCCCAGACUGUUAGUGGGUUCUGCUUUUUAGAUAAUAUCUUAGGAAAAGGAAACACCUGUUUGAAGAUGUAAAAAUGAGGCUAAAACAAACAAAAGGCUAUCUGCCUAAUUUAUUUACUUAUUUUUCCUGGUUGGUGGUAAGGUGGAGAAUAUGACUUGUGAUUCAGAGUCUGAGCCAUUAACUGUUUUUUUCCUGCAAAAUAAACAUUUGAGAACCAGUGCCCACCAGGCUGAUAUGGACAUUUUUGGGUCAUGACUGUGGAAUUAAUUAAGGAAUUGAUUUUUUUUGAUUUAUGGAUGACUUUAAUUUUUUUCAAUUCAAUUAACUUUUUUAGUAAAGUACAGUUGAUUUAUAAUGUUGUGCUAAUUUCUGCUGUACAACAGAGUUGAUUAUUUUAAUGAUAUUAUUAGUGGUACUAAUGUGAUUGUUCAGUGUAGUUCCUCAUCUUAGGUAUAUUUUGCCUACAUAAAUAUCAAUGUAAUUGUUUUCUAUUAAAAAAUUCUGCAAUUGUCAA
rnacentral:lncRNA from 9 species